rnacentral:rRNA from 1 species
GAUAAACGCUGGCGGCGCACAUAAGACAUGCAAGUCGAACGGACUUAACCAUUAGUUUACUAUUGAGAGCGGUUAGUGGCGGACUGGUGAGUAAUACGUAAGCAACCUGCCUAUCAGAGGGGAACAACAGUUAGAAAUGACUGCUAAUACCGCAUAUGCCAUAAUCACCACAUGGUGGUAGUGGGAAAGGAGCAAUCCGCUGAUAGAUGGGCUUACGGCUGAUUAGCUAGUUGGUGGGGUAACGGCCUACCAAGGCGACGAUCAGUAGCCGGACUGAGAGGUUCAACGGCCACAUUGGGACUGAGAUACGGCCCAGACUCCUACGGGAGGCAGCAGUCGGGAAUUUUGCGCAAUGGAGGAAACUCUGACGCAGUGACGCCGCGUGCAGGAAGAAGGUUUUCGGAUUGUAAACUGCUUUAGACAGGGAAGAAACAAGACAGUACCUGUAGAAUAAGCUCCGGCUAACUACGUG